rnacentral:rRNA from 1 species
UACAGAGGUCUCAAGCGUUAUUCGGAUUCAUUGGGCGUAAAGGGUGCGUAGGUGGCGAUGUAAGUCUGGUGUGAAAUCUUGGAGCUUAACUCCGAAACUGCACCGGAUACUGCGUUGCUUGAGGAUUGUAGAGGAGAGUGGAAUUCACGGUGUAGCAGUGAAAUGCGUAGAUAUCGUGAGGAAGACCAGUUGCGAAGGCGACUCUCUGGGCAAUUCCUGACACUGAGGCACGAAGGCCAGGGGAGCAAACGGG